CCUACGGGUGGCAGCAGUGAGGAAUAUUGGUCAAUGGACGCGAGUCUGAACCAGCCAAGUAGCGUGAAGGAUGACUGCCCUACGGGUUGUAAACUUCUUUUAUAAGGGAAUAAAGUGUUCCACGUGUGCCUUUUUGUAUGUACUUUAUGAAUAAGGAUCGGCUAACUCCGUGCCAGCAGCCGCGGUAAUACGGAGGAUCCGAGCGUUAUCCGGAUUUAUUGGGUUUAAAGGGAGCGUAGAUGGGUUGUUAAGUCAGUUGUGAAAGUUUGCGGCUCAACCGUAAAAUUGCAGUUGAUACUGGCAGUCUUGAGUACAGUUGAGGUAGGCGGAAUUCGUGGUGUAGCGGUGAAAUGCUUAGAUAUCACGAAGAACUCCGAUUGCGAAGGUAGUCUACUAAACUGCCACUGACAUUGAUGCUCGAAAGUGUGGGUAUCAAACAGGAUUAGAUACCCUUGUAGUC
rnacentral:rRNA from 1 species